CUAGACUUCAAGUGAAUAUACUGCCCUGUCAGGCAGAGUAAAUACAGAGCACUGUGAGUUUUAUCAAGAAGCAUCCAUAGGUAUUACAUAAAGAAAUGGUUGUGGCUGUGUUCUAAUAAAACUUUAUUAAUGGACACUGAAAUUUGAACUAGUGACAAUGUCUCUGCUCAAGUUGCAUGAUCUGAGUGGACCUGCAUCAUCUGGGGCCUCUAACAAGACAAGAUGGGUUCAAUGAAAAUGUGCCCCGGCUACUUCCAAC